AGCGAACGCUAGCGGCGGGCUUAACACAUGCAAGUCGAGCGCAUCUCCUUCGGGAGGUGAGCGGCGAACGGGUGAGUAACACGUAGGUAACGUACCCUCUGGUGGGGAAUAACCCAGGGAAACUUGGGCUAAUACCGCAUGUGCCCUUCGGGGGUGAAAGACUUCGGUUGCCAGAGGAUCGGCCUGCGGCCCAUUAUUUAAUCCUAGUUGGUAGGGUAACGGCCUACCAAGGGUACGAUGGGUAGCUGGUCUGAGAGGAUGAUCCCCCACACUGGUACUGAGACACGGACCAGACUCCUACGGGAGGCAGCAGUAGGGAAUAUUGGGCAAUGGACGAAAGUCUGACCCCAGCCACGCCGCGUGAAGGAUGACUGCCCUAUGGGUUGUAAACUUCUUUUGUAUGGGAAGAAAAUUCCGAACGUGUUCGGAGCUGACGGUACCAUAAGAAUAAGCAUCGGCUAACUCCGUGCCAGCAGCCGCGGUAAUGUAGUCGUG
rnacentral:rRNA from 1 species